UGUGGUGAUUAUAGCAAAGGGGUCCACCUCUUACCAUUCCGAACAGAGAAGUUAAGCCCUUUAGCGCUGAUGGUACUGGAGUAACAUCCGGGAGAGUAAGUCGUCGCCACUU
rnacentral:rRNA from 1 species